rnacentral:rRNA from 1 species
UACGGAGGGUGCAAGCGUUGUUCGGAAUUACUGGGCGUAAAGGGCGCGUAGGUGGUUAUGCAAGUCAGAUGUGAAAUCCUUCGGCUCAACUGAAGAACUGCAUCUGAAACUGCAUAACUAGAGUACAGGAGAGGGAAACGGAAUUCCCGGUGUAGAGGUGAAAUUCGUAGAUAUCGGGAGGAACACCUGUGGCGAAGGCGGUUUCCUGGCCUGAUACUGACACUGAGUCGCGAAAGCGUGUGGAGCAACCAGG